rfam:Arabis alpina cultivar Pajares chromosome 4, whole genome shotgun sequence.
AGAGGAAGGAUCCAAAGGGAUCGCAUUGAUCCUAAUUAAGGUGAAUUUUCCCUAUUAUUUUCUUAUUUUUGAAAAAAAUAUCAAAAAUUUGCUUGGUUUUGGAUCAUGCCAUCUCUUUGGAUUCAUCCUU